rnacentral:lncRNA from 1 species
UUCGCUUCUCAUGUCGUUUGCUCCGGCCACCGUGAGGGUUUACGCCACAACCGCAAAGGGAGCAUCAGGCGGCGCCAAAGAGGAGAAGAAUCCCCUCGACUUUGUGCUUGGCUAUUUGACAAAGCAAGAUCAGUUCUACGAGACUGAUCCAAUUCUCAAGAAGGUUGAGGAGAAAGAAGGCUCCAGAAGCGGCGGCACAAAAAGUGGCGGCACUAAAAGCGGCGGCACCAACGGAGGCAGAGGAACUGUUCGCGGUGGCGGUAAAAACUCGACUCCGGUGCCUGUACCGCCGAAGAAGAGCGAUGGUGGAUUCGGCGGCUUAGGUGGCUUCUUCAACAAAAAAUAAAAGAAAAUUUGUAUAGUACAGUAAUUUGCAUUGUUUAUGCCUCCCCGUUUUUAUUCUCUAUAAUUCUUCGGAUUUCAAUUAUAUAUAAACUGCUCUUUCUUCAUUUUAUUUGGCAUUUUAUGAUUAAUCGAAAAGAUCUCACUAUAUCAUAAUUCAUUUUCAAGAUUCACUCAUCACUUGGAGAAAUUUUGAGAAUAAUAUGGAGAAAUGAGGGUAAUGUAUAUACCAAGAACAAGUAGAAUCUGAAGAACAGAGUACAUGAUGAUUCGUAUACAAGAGGAACUUAUGAGAAUUCAAGAGUGAACCACACUGUUCUCAAAGCUCAUAUUGUAAUAUGUAUAUGGCUUUUAUACAUCUAAAACAAUGAUACAAUUUUGCCAAUUUCUCUUAAGAGACUGUAUACAGCAAGAACACCAAAUCUUACAACACACGGCCAGUAAUUCUAUAAGCUAUCACCAGAAUGAUUACUCUCCAAAAUGGUUCUUUACAUUUUGAUUCAAGUGUUACGGGACGGGACCCUGGAACCAUUGAUGCUAUGCAUUAGGCAAUGGUGAUAGUCAGAUCUGACCUGGAGAUACAGGAUCUGUGUUAAAACCUGUCUUUAUGGCUAUAAUUGGUGACAGAACAUUGUAGCUGUUAACUGGAGCUAGCUCGUGCCGGGAGCAACGCCUCUUGCUUUCCUUUGACGAAGAUUGCGAGUUCUUCAGGUGCUACCACCAUACUUAACCACUUCUGCAGAUCUUCACCUUCUACUUUCUCUUUCUCUGCACCAAAUCAUGAUAUUUUCAUCAUCAGAGUCAGCUAGCUAUCACAUCAACCAAACUCAAGCUAAGCCCGUGGAAGCUCAAAGCUUUUAGGGAUGAUAUAUCUUAUAAACUGUCCCACACUUUUUCGAAAACUUGUUCUCGUUUGAUGAAAGUAAAUAAAGUUAUACUAUCUGGUAAUGGAUUACCUUCCAGAUGAGCACCAAGUCCUUCCAAUACAUCUGCAUUAGCGCGUACCACCAACAGUGCAACAUCGAGAGCAGAUUGUAACAGAUUUGUCACUUCUCUUUGAACAAGAUCAACUAGUUUCCCCUGUGUAUAAACAUGGAAGGUUAAGUUUUGCGUUCUUUCAAGGGAGAGGGACAUCACAGAAACCUAGGCAAGUGCAAUGAAGAUUGAUGUUACCUGAUCUCUUCCCCAUGGUGAGCCUCCCGAAUCGUCAAUCCCACCACCAGAAAGUGUAGCCACAGAUACGGGUCCGAUUGUCUGGUUAAGACCAUAUUCAGCUACUGCCUUAUAUGCCAUAUCAGUUGCCCGCCUGAUAUCGUCAAAUGCACCUGUUGAUACACGCCCCGAGUAGACAACUUCUUCAGCUGCACGACCUCCGAGAAGGGUAACCAAACGUCCAAGCAGCUCAUCAAUGAAGAGCAAAUAUCUGUCCUCAUUGGUAGGAGGUAUGUAUGUAAAUCCCAAUGCCCCUCCUGUUCUUGGCAAUAUGCUCAAUUUCUAACAACAAAAAGAGCAAAAACUUGAAUCACUUGCACAGAUAAGCGUAAAGCCUGUCCAAACAGCAGAACCUAUGAGCGUACAUGUCCAAAAUGCUUUUGUAGUUUACCUCAACACGUGGUUGUCCAGUAACAAGUUUUGCAACAGCAGUACCAACUACUGCAUGCCCAGCUUCAUGCCUUGCAACCACUGCCUUCUCAGUGCCUUUUAAUCUUGCACUCUUCUUCUCUAUGCCCUGGAAUAAAAAUGCAUUGUAAAGAAACGUUUGACGAAUUGCUUCAGGUACUAAGUAGACUAGAGAGGAUAGCGCGAUACCGCUAUGGAUCGCUCCACAGCUUGAAUGAAGUCAAUUUUGUCAACGGUUGUCUUGCUCUUUCGUCCAGCAAGCAAGGCAGCCUCAUUUACCAAGUUUGCAAGGUCUGCCCUGCAAAAUACGAAAAAUGGCUUUAUGAGAUAUAUAGCCAAAACCGUACAACUGAAGAAAUUUGAAAUCAAGGAUAAUGUAGAAAAGCGUACCCUGUAAAACCAGUGGUCAUUGAGGCAAUACUACCAAGGCUGACGUCAUCUCCCAAAGGAAGCUCUUUCUUUAAGACGUGUACUCUCAAAAUGGAUUCUCUUCCAAUUUUGUCUGGCGUUUCCACCUGAAAAAAAAUGCAUCAGUACCCUUGAAAGAAUCUUAAUCUGCCUAACCACUAACAAAUCGGCAGACUAAUCCAUUCUACCAACCGUAACAACACGAUCAAAUCUCCCAGGGCGACGCAGGGCCGGAUCUAAGACAUCGGCACGAUUUGUAGCUCCAAGAACGAUAACCGCAGAGCUGCUGUCAAAACCAUCCAUCUCCUGCAAACAAGUUUCCAACAUGUGAAUGGGUCAUGGAAAAAUCAAGAAUGCUACUUAAGCAGAAACAGUACAAGAUUACACACUUACGGUAAGCAGCUGAUUCAGUGUUUGCUCCCUUUCAUCAUUGCUGGCAAUUCUGAAUUUACCAUCACGGCUUUUUGCCACAGCAUCUAUCUGGAACAUGAAGAAAAACAUAAAAUCUUGUUUAAAGAUAUCCAGAGGUAGAAAGUACUGGAGGUAACCCGACAUAGACUACGUAUUCUAACCUCAUCAAUAAAUAUAAUGGACGGUGCUUCUUUCUUGGCCCGAGCAAAGAGAUCCCUUACACGUGAGGCACCCAUACCGACAUACAGCUCUACGAACUCACUUGCAGAGCAACUUAUGAAGGGAACGUCAGCUUCCCCAGCAACAGCCUUUGCAAGAAGCGUUUUCCCUGUUCCAGGAAGACCAACCUACAAAAGAAUGGAAACGAAAGGCAUGAAAUUCUAAAAGAGAGGUCUUGUAACAAAACAUUAGCCAUUAACUAUUCAAAAGAAAUUAUCGAAGUGGAAUCAAAUGAUUUCACUUACCAAUAGGACACCACGAGGAGGACGUGCACCCAGACGGACAUACUUGUCAGGAUUCCUAAGAAAUUCCUGCAAAAAAUUGAUCCAUGAGUAAAACACAAUUACCAUCACAAACGAUCUGACGAUCAAUCAGCAAGUGCAGCAUCUUUAAGGGCUGAGAAACCUACGACGAUUUCUUCUAGCUCUUCCUUUGCUUCAUCAACACCUGCAACAUCUGCAAAUGUAAUUGUUUCACCUCCACCAGAGACUUUUCCCCCAUCAGAACCACCAGACUUUCGGCUCCUAAGCUGGCUGGUUGAACUCUGUGUACACCCGUCGUAUUUUAGGAGAUUGAAAAAUUUAAACAACCACAUUGAAGUAUAAUGGAGAUGCAAACCAUGGAGAAGCUAAGAGGGAAUCGUUGAAUAAGCCCUGCAAGCACCGCUAUGUAGAAAAGUGCUAUCUGCAACAAACAAAAAAAGGAACUUUUCAAAUGAAAUGCUUUCCAAAACUGAAAAUGACGCAGCUUGAAAACUGAAAGCCCAGUCUUUUGUAAAAAGCACCAGUCAUUGCAAAACUAUAAAGCAUCAUCAUCAAAGAGUAGUAUAUUACCAAUCCGGAGUUGAAGAAGCCACCAGAGCGUUUAUCAGGCGAUCCGAAUUCAACAUUAUUCCCAAGCAUCUUCUCAUAUGGUGUUUUGAUGUCGGCAGGCCUUGUGGUAGAAUAUACAACUCUUUUCGUCGGAGCCACAGUUCUUAGCAGCGACUCAGAAGACUCAGAUAUCCUACUAGUUUCACUCUCCUGCCAUUUCCCAUCAUCUUUAAGCUUAAACAAAACCUGAACCCCAUCAACCUCCACUUUCUGCACCUGGUUACUGUUAACUUUACUCAAGAACUCGCUGUAAGGCACGCUCACGAAAGUCGUCUGAAUCCGAGGCUCAGAGCCAGGUAAAGGUACUCCAGGUCGUAGCAAUCUCAUCAGAAACAUAACAACGCCUAAUUGCAACAGUAAAACCCCAAUCCCCUGCGCCUGGAGUAUUGGCUGCCACUGCCAUUUCUUCCCUCUCGACCACAUAACCCCAUCUUUCCUUUCCUUCUCUAUUUUCCGCUUCGACGAUGAGCUCGAGCUCGAGUUCGCCGGAGAAUCUUGGUCUCCUUCUCCGUCACUACUCUCACUCGAACUAGCUUUCUGAUCGUCUUCUUGACAAUUCACAACACCCCGUCUCUUCUUCCUUGAAAACCCAUCCCAGAGAUUAAACCCUUUAUGAUUUCUCAACACUGUAACAGGUUUCCUCUGCAGAGGAAGCGGGAUUGAAUUGGAGACGAAUCGAUUCGGGUUCCGGCGAAAAACCCUACACCGAUCGUAGAAGAAGCUCGAAGUAUGCAAAUACAAUAGACUGUUACUGCAACAGGUUGCGAAUCUGAACCUAUUGUGAACCACUGGUUGUACAAAUUCGAAUUUAGUAGCCAUAUCUCGAAACCCUAGAAAUUGGGGAAAUCAAAGGAAAAACAUAAACAUACCAACACAUUUCAUAUUUCGCUUUUAUAUUUGAUCUGUCUAUAUCUCUUUUAGGACAAACGGAGGCUUGCUGGGAAUUACGACUUCGAACUUUGACCGUUGGAUCGAAGACAAGGAGCAAAAUUCAGCCGUACGAUCUCACGGAGGACGCUGAAUUGUAAUCGCACGAGGAAUAUCGGUAGCUAAGUAAUCGAGUGUGACACGGCGUAUGGAAACGCACGGUGCCAGAGAGAACACGUGGAUAUAUUUAGAGAAGAUAAUGUGGGCCCAUCUCAAUAUAUAAGGUUUAUCGGACCUGGAAGAGGCCCAAAUAAAGUCUAAGACCAUUAUGGGGUUUUAAACAAAUAAAUAUUAAUAUUAUAAUGUAGUAUAAUUAUUUAAUUAAAUUUUAAUUUUAAAAAUAAAAAUAGACUAAUGAGAAUGUGAUAAGUGUAGAACCUCUAAAAAAUGAGGUUCUCAAAUAAAAGUUUUAAGGAUUGGUUUUUAUUUUUAAUUAAUUUUUGAUUUAUUUUUAAUCUUUUAAAAUCUAAAAACUUUUGCUAGAGCCUACCAUUGGAGGUGCUCUAAAAGACUUAUCUAGUCUUCCUACUUUAUUCAUUUUAUCCAAAAUCGCUCACCCUAAUUUUUUUGAGUGAAUUAGCUCAAUAAACAUAAAUCAAGUCAAAUUUGCAGAAAUGACCAAAACUCAAUGACAGAAUUACGUAGAGCUAUAAAGAGGUUAAUUGAUCCAGGUUAAAUUAUAUAAAUUAGAACUUGAGCUUACUAAUGCAUGUUAUCGUUGGAAAAAUUGGUUGAAAAUUCUUUGAUUGACCCCUUUAAUUUCAUGUUCGAUGCCUUCUAUGAUCCCGGUUAAAAAAAUUUCUGGAUCCGCCACUGCCAAAACCUCACAUAAAACUACUAUUAUGAGGAUGGUCAUCAGCAGAUACCCUUUUACCCCCAAAAGAUUUUGCCACGUUAUUUGUUGAGCUCUGUUGAGCUCUGAUAGGAAAUGUGAUGAUUUAAUAGGGUGGCUGAGAGGAUUUUGUAGAGUAGGAGAAAAUCUUCCAAAUCUUCCUUCAAUAAAUCUCAAUCACACAACAUAUUCCAAAUCUAAUAUAUAUACAUAUAUAUAUAUAUAUAUUAUAAUAACGGUUUACAUAUUUUGUUAUAAAUUAACAAUUAUUAUAUUAUAUAUAAACAUAUAAAUUUACAUAUAACAUUAUGUUUUACACAGUAAAGAUAAUGUUAGAUUGAUAACAAUAAUGAGCUAUAUAGAUGAUUAAAGAUGUUAUUAAUAUAUGUAGCACAAUACAUAUAAAUUUAACGUCUAAUAUUAUAAUUUACUAGGUAUAAAAAUUAUUAGUUUGAUAACAAUAUGAAUUAUAUAAAUUGUUAAAGGUGUUAUUUUUGUGGUUAGUGCGCUACAAAUAGAUAUAACACUCUCACUACAAGAAAAACAUCAUUUUACGACGGUCGAAAUGGUCGUUAAUUCGUCGUAAUAGGGCCAUUACGACGGAUUACCGACGAUUUCAAAAUCGUCGUAAACUCAUCGUCGUAAUAGACAAAUCGUCGUAAAAUCGUCGUAUAAUAUACGACGAUUUUGUUUCGUCGUAACGUCGAGGCAAACAAAAUCGUCGUAAAUGCGUCGUACAAUUUACGACGAGUUUACAUCGAAUUGCGUCCACUUGGUCUUCGCCUAGACCGUCGUUAAGUGGUCGUUAAUGGUUGACGUAAGAUCGUCGUAAAAUGUACGAUGUAAAAAUUGUCGUAAAUCAAUCGUAAAGUAUUUCUUCAUUCUGUCGUAAAAUCGUCGUACAUUUCGGACGUAUAAUCGUCGUAUUUAUCGUCGUAUAUUAUAGUCGUAAAGUCGUCGUAAUAUGUACGACGAUAUUACGACGGUUUGAAUAAAUCGAUUACGACGAUUAUACAACGACUUAUAUAAUUGGAAAUUAAAAAAAAAUUAAUUGAAAAUUAAAAAAAAAAAUAAUUCGAAUUAAAAUUUAAAUAAAAAAAAAUAAUUUACAAUUUGAAAUUAAAAUUAAUUGUAAUUUACAAAAAAACCCUACAGCUCAUCUAAAUCUAUUUGUAGAUCGUCGAUCCCGUCACCGGCCUCCUCCCCAUCGUCUUGGACGUGCUCCUUGCCGGGUCUUCGGUUUGAUGGUCCCGCCGGCACCUGAUCUCCGGCUCCGGCUGUAGGAGGGUCGACCCCGAGAGAUCGGAACAUCUCUGCGUCCGUCUGCACCGGCGGCGGUCGAGUCCUAGUAGAUGACCCGACGGCAGACGAUCCUCCGAGAACCCCAUCAGCCUUCAGCUUGUCCAGCUGCACCAUGAGUACCGGGUUGUUGGCUCCCAUGAUCUCGAAAAGACUGUAGAGCAGGUCGAUCUUCGUCUCGUACCGGUCGAUCCUCGUCUCGUACUGGUUCCGCAUCUGAUCGAUCUCUUGGCGGAUAACCGGAUCCGCCGCAGCCCGGACGUGACCAGUCGCCGUAGCUCUCGGGGUAUCACGGAUGGACCCCAUCCCUAAUACCCGCCCCUUUUUCUUUGGGGCAACCUACAAACAUAUAAAAACAUUAUGGUUAGAAAUAUAAUUUAAAAGUAAAGUUACAUUAAUUAAAAAAAGUAAUUAUAAUUAAUUACGUACCUCUUCGAAGAUCUGGUCCAUCUCCGCCACCGUCAGCGCCGGGGUCGAUUGGACCGAGCUACCUCCGGGAGACGUUUGACGCGCCUGCUGAGUCAGCUGCGUCUGUCGCUCCUCGAUCGCCGCACAGGCGGCGUUGUAGAUCUCCUCCGCCCGAGGAUCCGUGAAUUCGCCGUUACGCUUUUUAUGCGUCUCGGCGAAAACCUUCGUCAUCGGAGGAAGUUCUCCUCUGUUAUCUUCGACCUACAAAAUAAAAAAGAAAAAAUUAAUUAUUAUCAAGAAAUAAGAGUUUAUUAGUUGAAAAAAAAAAUUAAUGAUUUUAAUUUAGUAACCAUCAUAAGCCGUCUUCCGGCAAAAGGAAUCUGGCCGGAAGUGUGCGGGACGUUCUUCUUAUUU